rnacentral:rRNA from 1 species
CCUACGGGUGGCAGCAGUGGGGAAUAUUGCACAAUGGGGGGAACCCUGAUGCAGCAAUGCCGCGUGAAGGAUGAAGGUUUUCGGAUUGUAAACUUCUUUUGUACGGGACGAAGAAAGUGACGGUACCGUAAGAAUAAGCCACGGCUAACUACGUGCCAGCAGCCGCGGUAAUACGUAGGUGGCAAGCGUUAUCCGGAUUUACUGGGUGUAAAGGGCGAGUAGGCGGGAUUGCAAGUCAGAUGUGAAAACUAUGGGCUCAACCGAUAGAGUGCAUUUGAAACUGCAGUUCUUGAGUGAUGGAGAGGCAGGCGGAAUUCCCGGUGUAGCGGUGGAAUGCUUAGAUAUCACGAAGAACUCCGAUUGCGAAGGCAGCUUACUAAACUGCCACUGACAUUGAUGCUCGAAAGUGUGGGUAUCAAACAGGAUUAGAUACCCUUGUAGUC